rnacentral:rRNA from 1 species
UACAGAGGGUGCAAGCGUUGUUCGGAAUUAUUGGGCGUAAAGGGCUCGUAGGCGGCCAACUAAGUCGGACGUGAAAUCCCCAGGCUCAACCUGGGAACUGCGUCCGAUACUGGAUGGCUUGAAUUCGGGAGAGGGAUGCAGAAUUCCAGGUGUAGCGGUGAAAUGCGUAGAUAUCUGGAGGAAUACCAGUGGCGAAGGCGGUUCUCUGGGCAUUACCCGACGCUGAGGAGCGAAAGCAUGGGGAGCGAACGGG